rfam:Triticum aestivum genome assembly, contig: Triticum_aestivum_CS42_TGACv1_scaffold_113891_2AS
UGUGUACUCCCUCCGUUCCGAAUUACUUGUCGCAGGUAUGUAUGUAUCUAGAUGUAUUUUAGUUCUAGAUACAUCCAUUUCUGCAACAAGUAAUUUAGAACGGAGGGAGUAGAUC